GCGGGAUUAGUACAGUGGCAGUACAUAAGCUUCCCAAGCUUAGGACGCGGGUUCGAUUCCCGUAUCCCGCU
rnacentral:tRNA from 1 species